rnacentral:rRNA from 1 species
AAAGCUUGACGGAGCAAGACCGCGUGGGGGAUGAAGGCUCUUGGGGUUGUAAACCCCUUUUCUCAGGGAAGAAGAUCUGACGGUACCUGAGGAAUAAGCAUCGGCUAACUCCGUGCCAGCAGCCGCGGUAAGACGGAGGAUGCAAGCGUUAUCCGGAAUUAUUGGGCGUAAAGCGUUCGUAGGUGGCUGUUCAAGUCUGCCGUUAAAGACCGGGGCUUAACUCCGGAAAAACUGUGGAAACUGAACAGCUAGAGUAUGGUAGGGGUAAGGGG